rnacentral:pre_miRNA from 1 species
GAGACACCCCUCCAGGGCAAGACUUGCUUCAAUGGGACUUUGGUGCUCACUGAGUCUGCCCCCUGAGUGUGUCCUU